rnacentral:hammerhead_ribozyme from 1 species
ACUAGAUGACGAGUCCCGAAUAGGACGAAAUGCGCAUCCGGGAU